GACGUAGGGCGCGAGCGUUGUCCGGAUUUAUUGGGCGUAAAGAGCUCGUAGGCGGCUUGUUGCGUCGACCGUGAAAACCCGUGGCUUAACUGCGGGCUUGCGGUCGAUACGGGCGGGCUGGAGUUCGGUAGGGGAGACUGGAACAAACGGUGGAGCGGUGAAAUGCGUAGAUAUCGUGUGGAACGCCAAUGGUGAAGACAGGUCGCUGGGGAUGAGCUGACGCUGAGACACGAAAGCCAGGGGAGCAAACGGG
rnacentral:rRNA from 1 species